rnacentral:lncRNA from 1 species
CAAUUCGUACCUGCAUCAUUAGUCAUUUUGUUGGAAACCAAUUGGAUUGAAACUUUGAGAGAAAGGUUAGAAUAUGGUUGAAAAUAUUUGAGAAAAUAUGAAAUUGUGGUGUAAGGUAGAAGAUAAUGACAAGGUAUUUAUAGAAAAGUAAAAUCAAUUUUUUUUUAUAUUUUUUAUUAAUUUUUUGUUGUGACAACCUGUCCUGAAUAAAUAUAUAUUUUCUCCCUGAAUGUGUGAAAAUGAUGAUUAUGCCCUUGUUGGCUUGGUGACAUGGAUGUACGUAUAUAGUUUUAAAUUAUUUUUCCUGCUAAUGUGAUCAAAUUGUAUUCGACGCCACGAGAGCAUUGACGUGAGUUAGGGUCGUAUCGGUUUUCUAGCGGAAAAGUUACGACAAUUAAAGAUCGAGAUUGGGUAGAAAUAUGUUUUUGGGUUGGCUAUACCUUACUCACCAAUCACCUUAGCUCCUACAAUCUUGAAUCCAAUCAAAAUUGGAGUGGUUUUAUUUAUUUUGGGCCACUUAACAUAACUCUCUCUCUCUCUCUUUCUGUUUCUCACGACAGCCCAAUUAAGGCAUUGUUUCUUUCUUUUCUAACCAAUCCCAUGCAUACACACACACAUACACCCACACAUGUACGCAUCCUUCUUCUCUCCCUCACCUUCUCGACUUUUCCUCGUCCGUACACCGUAGCACCCACACACCCAAUCAUCACAAAAACGUCACGGAUCGAGCUUUUGGAAAUCACAAUCACACUCCUCUCAAGCUCUCAAACCUAAUCAUACCCAUAGGUUCUAGUUUUGGUGAGAUUUAGCCGUAGUUCCACGAACUCCUGCACGGUGGGAAUUUGAGACUUGUGAAUCGUGGGCGAUUCACAAGGUUUUAAGGCUCAAGAAAGCUCUUAUUCAACUCCUUAGAGAUCCUAGACUAGCUUUCGAUCAGAGUUGACGUCGGGACGCGUGGUUUCGAGAAGUUGCAGGGCUGGCUAGAUUUUCCAAGGAUUAUUCCGACCAUUUUUCGUUGGUUUUAGGACCUUAAAUAGGUAUAGUUGUGUUUUAUUCUUCAAGAGUUUCAAAUCCAUAUAAAAUUCGUAAAAUUUGGUUGAGAAAUGUAGUUACAAGCUUUAGAAAUUUUUCCAGAAAUCGGCGACACAGACGGUGGCCGGCGGCGGUUACCGACGAGUCACCAGAGAAGGAAGGGGAAUAUUCCGUUAACUUUAAUGGGAUAUAUUGAUGGCGUCAGGUAAUUUUAACGGAAUAUUCCCUAACGUCGUUAGGGAUUCCGUCAGUGUGCCAGACACAUGCCUGCUCGUGGCCAGCGCGUGAGGGCACGUGAGACAUCAGAAUUUUUUUCUAAAAAUAUGGGGAUGCUCGCGGUGUUGAGUAGGCCACGAUGGUAUAUUCAAAAACCCCAAUUGAGCAACGUAUGAGAAGUUAUUACAUGGUUGUGGUUAUGUGCUUAAAAUUAAUGUUAAAUUUGUGGUUUCGCAUAUAGGUGAGACGUUUCUAGAGGAAGAGCGUAGCCAAACGAGACUCGGGGGUUACGACCCUGCUACAUACCAGUGAGUGGGCUUUUGGUUUUCUAUAUAUACGUAUAUGUGUUUUCCAUUUUCCCAGAAUUUGUUUUAAAUGGAUUUACAUUUUAAAAUGCCAUGUCAAUUGCAUUACAUUUUAGUAUAUGCAUUAGUAUAGAUAUGCAUAUUAUUGCAUGACGUUGUAGAUGCCCAGGUAAGCUUCAGGUUAGUGCAUAUUAAUGAUGUGAUUGCAGUGUGUAUGGUUAUGUUUAGAUGCAUUUAGUGCUCAAUAUCCUACACCACAGUGUUAGGGCUCCGCUCAAGGCCAGGGCCUAGCCUUCACGUGUUCGUUCACCUCCUGCACCACAUGCUCACCUUGGAUCCAAGGCAGGUGCCAUCCUGUCAUACAGACCACAUUAGGUGAUUCCGACUCGUAGGUGACUUGCGAUACUUCGCACAACCUUCAUGUGAUCGUAGCACUUGAGUGUAUUUAUUUACACCCAGCCUGUCGUAAAGACCACAUUAGGUCGUUUCGACUCGUGUGCAGGAAUUGGUAGACGAGCUAUAGGUCUAGCUGUACAGGUCACGUUAGGUGAAUCCGGCUGACAUAUCAGUUUACAUUGAUUUAUUUCACCUGGCUUACUUAUUUCAUUGCUGAGAUACUUGACAUGGCAUAUACUUGGUUUUCACUACUCUCGAGCAUGAUUUCUACAUACUAUGUAUUAUUAUUUUCUGGGAAAUUAUACAGGUUUUACGGUGAGGGGUUAUUAUUUUUGGAAAGAGAAAUGGUUUUAAAAAGCUUUGUUUUUGCCCACUCAUGUUUUGUGUUUUGCGCCCCUCCAAGUUCUAGUUAGACGUUCAUGUUGGUGGCUUACGAGAACUCUACUGUGGUUCUGACAUACUUCAAUUAAUGUAGGAAUUUCUUUCAUGUCUUGUAUAAUUAAUACUUAGCCUACUAGACUGUAUCUAGGUUACCUAUGCUUUGAAUAUGUGUAUCUACACCUUAAGUACCUCCACUCGCACUUAUAUAUAUUUAUCUAGUGUAAGUUAGCUAGUUGGUUUUUAUUUACUUACGUUUUCAUAUCACUAUCACUUCCACUCUGCGCUCAUGGUUACGUCACCCUCACGUGACGACCAGCAUGCCUCGAUUCCGGUCGGAGUGUGUCAUUUAACAUUUUUUACUAACUUAAUUCAUUUCUGCCGUUGGAUUAAAAAAAUUUGAAAUCCAACCCUCUAAAUUGUGCCACAUGGCACAAUGGUAAAAUUUCAAAUUUUUUAUUGUUAUUUUUUUUAAUUUAUAAAGGCGAAUAACGUUGACCGUUGAUCUCAAAUCCAAUGGUUGAAAUUAAUGAAGGUUUGAAUUUUUUUUACCAUUCGAAAUCCAACGGUCCACAAAAAUUAACCGUUGAAAUCCAACGGACGAGAAGCUGCCAUGUGGCUUCCAACGGUAACAUUACUCAGGCCUGUGCCGCAGGCCCCACCGCCUGAAAACAUGUCGGGGACACACCCCCACGUGCGCGUGAUAUGCACAUGCCUGACUAAAAACAUAUUAAAACGUGGCUGACAUCACCCUAACGUCAGCGUUGCAUCACCUCCACCUCUGGUUCUCAGGCCACCGAUUCUUGCUGGGCCUCUUGCUCGGGCCCCCUCUUGCGCUACCGCCCACAUGAGUUGGACGUCAUUGCUAAGGCUAUUGCCCCUUGUUCUCGAGCCGGUCCAUCCGGCUACUCCACCCGGUUGAGUUGCUCUAAAUAUUCAAGUUGCUGGAGUAACUAGCUUUUACCAGAAUAGCAUUGGAUUGGGUUAAUCCAAUGUUGCAGGGUCUAAAAGGGAAUGUGUGAUCAUCACAUUUUCCCUUCACAAAAUGAUAACAAUUAGUCAAAUUGUGUUCUUAGUUGAUUCAUGCUAAAGUGAUUUAAACUUUUCAAAGGAAUAAGAUAUUGGAAGAAAAAGAAACAAAAAGAUUAGAAACCCUCCACUUUUGUGUUUGCUGGGAAAACCCAGUCCUCAAUCAUGGAUAGUAGCAGCAACAAGUCCAUUAAAAAACAUAUUUCUUGUGAGUCACCAGAAUUGGUGGUUGUUACGAAUCGCAAGAUAUUUGUUCUCUAGAGUAUGAAUCAAAGCUAUGUGUCACGCCCUGAUCUCGAGAUACGUCCAGGAUCGACAUGUGACAUCACCACUUACUUGUUUAUUAUUUACGCCUCACCUCCGGGACAUGACCAAAACACAAAUCAAUAGUUUAAUAACGUAGUAACUUUCCGUUUUAUAUCAUGGCUGCAUCUAACUUUUGCUUUAGACUGCCUACAUACCCUAUGCAGGGAUCAAGCCAUUCAUAUUCACCAUUCUCUUAAACUCUAAAAUUCUCAAGGAAUUAAUUGGCAAGAACAUAGAGCUCCAAAAUUACUCGAUGGAACCAAACAAACAUGUCUCACAAGAUUUUAGUUUACAUAACGAAGCCAUAUAAGAGCCAAGAUUGUUGUUUCAUCAUUCAACUAUAUUACACUAAUUUCCAAGUCAAUUCUACAAUCACCACAAUUAAUCUAUUGAAUGACUCAACGAUGAAUAAUAUAAACUACAUUAAUCAACCAAUACUAUCAUGUAUUUCAUGAAAUUUAAUAAGGGAAACUUCGUAAUUUCCUACCUAAAUUUCAAGCAAUAACAUUGUAACCCUAAUUUACAACCCCAAAUAUCGACAUGGAGCAAUUUCUAUUCAUAAGAAUCCAAGGUUCAACAAAUAUAGUGUUUUGGACCACUCAACAGAAUCCCACUUUGUUAUGUGUAUGGUUCCCCAAUGCGGAUUAACUAGUGGAACCAUAGGCAUCCAUCUGAUAACGUGACCCCUCUUGUGGAUUAACCAGGCAAGACCACCUAUAGAUAAAAUAUGAUCAACUAAGCAAUGACUCAUAAUGCGGAUUAACCAGGCCGAGUCACCCAAAAAAUGCGUAUAGUCCCCGAUGAGGUUAAAUAGGGGGACUAUGGGCAUCACGCAAUGUUGUGAUCCCGAAGGCCGAUUAACCAGGCAAGACCACCUAUGGAAGUAAGUCGAGUAGGCAGUGAACCCUUGUUGGGGCCCAAAAAUAUCACACACCAACCAAGUCUCAAGGUCCAGUUGUCAUGCAAAGCCUACAUUCAAGCCCAAAUACAUGCCAAGGCACAUAAUCAACGAGGAAUAUAUUUACAAACAUGCCAUGCUACAAUGAUUAAACUGGAUACUUACGCCAUGCUCAUACCUAUUCAUCACGCCAUGCUUCCUCAUGCUAAUCAUUGCCAUGCUAAGCCCAAGUCACAUAUUCGAAGCUUGUGAAGUGGAUUAUGGUGUGGAUGGUUACAGAAGGUUAUCAAGCCUACAUGGAAUCGGGGUCAUGGAAGACUUUGGGUUGCUUGGGGGCCCAAAGAUCCAAGCUCAUACCCUUUGUAUUUCACGCAGGCAUAAUUAAGAAAGAACUAGCCUAAUUUACCUUUUCCUUAGCAAGCCAACUCUCUUAGUUAGGAUUAAACUAGAUUCUUGCAUUAAAUUGAUGUUAAACCCAACAAGUCAGGCAUUGAAUGCUGACUUUCCCUUUCUAGCCUGCACAGACAACCAACACGCGAAAGCCAUGAAGCGCGCUACCAGAAGUAGCGUUUGCGGAAGACCGCCUUGAGAAAGCCGCUUCUCAGGAAGAAGCAAAUUGCAAGUCUCAACAGUGUAGCUAUCUUACACCCAAAUGGGAAUAAUAUGAGGCCUAGGGAGAAAAGAAUAGAACACCAAGCCAUAAGGGGAGAUUUCUUUGAAGCCUAGAGAAGAACAUUUCAUCUACAAAAUGGGGGAAAAAAGUCAUUAAAAUGAGAGUUAGAACACACAGAGUAACACAGAGAGAGAUAUGAUAGAACGCAAGGGAGAGAACCACCCAGGAAAUAAGCCCAGAAAGUUCCAUCUAGCCCAGAAACAUACUCCAAGCCUCAAGCAUCAUCAUUCAUGCAACCCUAGUAAUUUCCACAUCUUUCCAUUGAAGUCUCAGCCAUUGGAAGCCUUACUAUCAUCCCAAGAAUGCCCAAAUCAUGCAACUAGGAGUGCCAUGCAACCAUGCAAACCUUUUCUCUCUCAUGUAAACUAAUAUUCUUCUAAGUUCCAUACCACGUUUUGCUUGAACAAGUCACUAUCUUGAUCAUUCAUGCUAUUUUCAAGCCGUUGAUGUUAUCGGGGUAUUUCCUAAGACAAGCUAACAUUUUCGAGAUAUCCCAGGACUUGUUACGAAUUUGUACCAAGAAAAAUAAGAGGACAUUCUCAAAGCCCAAGUCCACCUCGACCUAAAAGUCCCCCAACACCUCUCAAUGCUUAUUAACCAAGCAGAGUUACCCUAAGGAUGCGCUUAGUCCCCCAAUGCAGAUUAACCAGGCAGGACCACCCUUAGAGUGUGUAGUCCCAUAAUGUGGAUUAACUAGGUAGGACCAUCCCUAAGGUGCGUUUGGUCUCGCAAUGCAGAUUAACCAGGCGAGACCAUAGACAUGCCUUUAAUAGUGUGGUUCCUCAUUGCGGAUUAACCAGGCAGAACCACUUAUAGAGAUAAUGUAACCAUGUAAGAAGUGACUCCCCGAUGCAAAUUAACCAGACGGAGUCACCUUAUAAUGCGUAUGGUUCCCCAAUACAGAUUAACCAGGCAAGAUCAUCCAUGUACCACUGCUAUAUGGGGUAGUCACAUCAUCACACAACAUACAUCAAAUCAACAUGAAUUAUAAUUACUAGAAUUCACAUAUCAAUUCCAGAAGACAAACAAAUAUCGAAUCACAUAACAUACACUUUAUAACAUACGUUAGUUCAUCAUGAAUGACAAUUUCAAAUGUACAUACUAUCGAUCCCACUUAACUAAUCUAUAUCUGGUCAUACAGACAAACGAGUUGUAAGGAAUAAUUCUAACGAGAUUCCCACUCAUAUUUUCAUACUAGUAAUUACACAUCUCAUUUAUAUUAUCUAGAAGUUCAAUAAACAUAUAUGUAAUAGUAAAGCAUCACUUGCAUGUAAACCGAGGUAUACACUAACUGGGAUAGCUCACUAACCAAGGUUGCACUAGGCUCUACUUAGUCUUUAAGAAUUCUAAUUUUACUAUUUAAGAAUAAUUUGAAACAUGUUGACUAAUAGUCAACUCUCGGCCGACGUGGUCAAUGGAAUAGUCAACCAACCUAGUAACCUACUUCAAAAGAUCCACCAAUUGGAUUUUCGAUCUGUAACAUCGUAAGGGUCUUAAUACGUUUCUAGAACAAUAUAUUAAAAUUUUGUGACGAUCUGAUGGUCAGGUCUCUGCCAAUUGCAAAUUCAAGCGGUGGUGAAUAAUUGUUUCUCAAAACUUAUAAAUUCAAUCUAGAAAAGUUUGUACGUUGAAAUCUCAAAUAUUAUUUACAAAAAACUUGGUGACGAUCCAAGGUCAGAUCGUCAUCUACUACAAAGCCUAGCAAUUUAAGAUUUCCUUCAAUCCAAAAGAUCCGUAGAUCAACUUUCCAAUCUGUAAAUUUCUAGUGUCCUCAAAUAAUACGUACGAUAACAUACUAUAAAUUGGUGAUGACCCAACAGUCGGAUUAUCGAUUACUUCAAUGGUCAAGUUGCGGACCAUUACUAAAUUAGGCUCACACAACGGAAUUUCGUCAAAUGGAUGUUAAAUAUGGAAUCAUGGUAUCAAAUUUAGCUUAGAAAGGCCAACUAGUGUCUCGAGCCAUGCGUUGCACGUAGCGGUCGAUGACCCUUAUUCUCCGAAAAAUUUGCCUAACACCAAAAUUACUCAAAUUAUACACAAAAAAAGAUAGUGAAGAGUGGAGUAACUUUUAUACCUGACUCGACGACUGAUUUCACCAAGAUAUGCUUGAAAUUGGCAAGGAACAAUUGGGACACCCAAAACCCUCGAACACCGAUUCGCCCUAAUCGAAUUUUGAACGUCUUCAAACCCAGUCGGGUUUUGCUAUGCAGGUCGAAUGAGGCUUGGUGAUAGUGGUGGCUGACGUUGAGGUGGCCGAAACGGAAAGUUUGUCGUCAAAAUCGCAGAGACUAACUAGUAUUCCCCUACUGUGUAAUGUUGCCAAACGGGGUCGACAAGAGAUGGGUUAGGUUCGUGAUAGUGAAAGAAGUCUAGAGAUGAUGAUAUCGACACCUAGUGUCGUCGAAAAAAGGCUCAUAAAUUUCCUAGAAACCUUCCACUAUUUCGCAGGUUUUCAAGGAUUAUACGGGUCACACGGGUUGACCUCUCCUCCCCAAAUACCACCCACACAUGUGGCUUAUCUCCAAUGGGAAGGCUCUCCCACUUUACUGAAGCCGUCCAGAAAAUGGCCUAAUUUUACCAUACCCUUGCCUAUUCCCUAAUUUCUCCUUCAUUGUAACUCUGUUUCCCAAACAAUUUUCGUGAACGCAUUCGCGGGUUCGAACUGUAUUAAAAAGAUACUAAGUUUGAUCUUGAAAGAUCUAUAGAUUUUCAAUGAUUAAUUACGAAAAAUCCAACUUUAUAACCAAGUAACCAAAAUACAAAAUGGAAAACAUAUUAUUUUUCCGAAAGUAUGAAUUAUAAUUACGUAAAAAUUCAUUCAAAAUAUGAAUUACGAAUUAAUGAAUAGAGGAGACGGGAUUUCACACUACAUCUUUAGGAUAUUCUAGUUUUCCUUGUAGUUUGUGGCAAAGGUCGCUGGUCGAGGAAUAUGAGUUCACUCUUAAUGAAAGCACCAAUAGUUGAAACCAAAUUCGCACACCAUCACGAGAAGUGGAGAUGCACAAACUUGAUUACCUGUAAAAUAGCAAACAACGGUAAGCAACCUAGGACUAAUGUGGUGCCAACCAAAGGCUCCGUAAUGACUAAGUUAGUAAGCAAUAUUUGAGACUCAAGCAGUAGGCAAGAGAAUAAAGUAUAUGGUAAUUACGUUACCCGAGAUGAACCAUAAAAGAAUGUAUGUAUACUAGUAGAGAGAGAGACCUUUUAGGAUAUAGAACCUAUAUUAAACUGGAAAAAAUCCAAGAUGAUAUUUAGGAGUAGAUAUUACAUGUUCUUAGAUAUGUGAUCACUUGCAACAGACGUCAAAUCCCUAGAUUAUAGGAAUAUUCAAGAAUUUAAGAAAACCUAGCUGAUUCUAUACUGGAUCAGGUUUCUAUAUCUUGCAGAACAAGAAUGCUCUAUCUUAACGAAUUAGAUGGACUUCACCCACUUAUCCUGAAUAGGAUGAUGGUGACAUCGCUGAUUGUUUAUACAGCUUCGUGAUAGAGAUUGUUGAGUCCAUAACCGAACUUCUGAGAUAUUCGUGUUCUGAUCCAUCUUACUUUGGCCCUAGAAAAUCAUGGUCCCACACCAAUUAAAUUGGGAGACUAUCUAACCAAUUAAAUCGGAAGACUAUCUAUGAGGGAGUCUAGGAUAAGAUAUCCAAUCUUCUUAGGAUUAUGUUUACGUAUCCAAUCCAAAUAUAUCCUAAUUUGACUUGAAUUAGGGUUUUCUUACUUGGGAGACAAGUAAUACAGAUUGCGGAAUGUCUAAUUGGCUAUGCCUCUAACUAAUCAACCUGUUGGAAUAACUUACUCUGAUUCUGAUUAGAAAGCUUGACUAGUUGAUCGUCUGAACUUCAUGGGCUAUAGACAUUCUGGUCAUUCUUGCCACCCAAGGUUCAACAUGUCAUGGUUCCAAAAAAUCAUGGUCCUACAAUGUCAAUUUAGUAAUGGUCAAAGCCUUUUUAUGGUUGCAGAUAACGCUUUACCGCAACGAUAGAACAUACUCAUGUUUAUGUAUUUUGUGCGGAUUUGAUUUCCACUGAUCCAUCACCUCCCUAAUAACUCAUAAUUUAACCCACUAAAGCUAUCAGUUGUCUAAAAUAAAAUUAAAAAAAAAAAAAACACUUUUAUGGUUAGGUAUGAGUAUGUAAAAUUUUCCCCAUCAAACUUUGUUUUAGCCUAUUACCCCUAUAAACUUUUAUAAUGGGCCAAUUAAAGCUCAGGAAGAAAACUAGUCGAUUAUUGAUUUUCUGAUUUUCAUAUGAUUAGAUUGUGAUGUCAUCACCAACUAUGUAGGUUUUUAUGAUUAUCAUAUUGUCAUUCGCAACCCCGGAAAGGACAACACGUGCCUCUCCCAUGCAUUUUAUACGUGCCAUAUAUAUGCUUCAGCUUCAAUAAGUAUACCAUAAUGUAACAUUGUUGAAUUAGUACCGCAACAUGACUAUAUUACAAGCAUACUGUAAUAAUUAAUAGAUUAGGAAAUCAAAUUCCACAGCAAAGGUGGCAAGCCUCUCGAAUAUUAUGCUUGAUAUGUAUUUAAUUAUGAAGAAAAAACUUUGACUAUGUAGAGAUUAUUUGAGAACCACAUGCAUAAAUUAAUAAUCAAAAUAGAAAGCAUGAACUCAAAAUAUUUAAGCCCUAUAAAAUUUAAGCCUAGAUGGUGAACCAAGACUCUUUGAAAAAAUGAAAGAGGGAAUUUGAACUUCAUACCCUUCAAGCUCAUCUUUGUUUUCACAAGGCAAUUACCCAACUGGAGGGCUUUCAAUUCCUAUCCUUGCUCAUUGUGUAACAAACCGUCCCUAAUUUUACAACUUUAUUAAUUUUAAGUGUGAAUUGACUAAAAUGCCCCUAGAGGCGAGAUUGUUGACUUUCGUUGAUCCUCAUUUUGUGACGCAUAUGAGAUACUAUUUUACUGUAUUCAUGUAGUACUUGUUGCUACAAACGCGUGGGCACAAACGGAAUUGAAAUCGGAGUUACAAUUAAAUCCCUAUCCCUGAUCUCUCGAACUCUCUCUUCCCUCAGCCUAUCUCUUUGUUAACUCUCUAUUUCUUUCACUCACCCUCACUCUCUGAUGGAUCAUCAAGCACCACCAAAACCACCACGUCGUCGCCACUUCGGUGAGCACCACCACAACCCACCUGACCACCUAUUUCAUAAACCUGAACCCUAGAUUGGACAUUCUUUUUCUCUCUUUUCUAUGCACAGUGGCACUGCCACUAUUCAAGAUUCUUCCUCAGCAAUAUCUCGUUGUCCCCAGCGAAGGUAAACCUCGAAACCCCCAAAAACUUCUUAAAUCUUAUUUUGGUGUACGAUUAGGGUAAUUUUGAGAUGUUUUGAUGUAGAAAUGCCUCGGGGGGAGCUUCCCCAGUUUUUCGAUGACAAAUCCGGCGACUUCGAGCCAUUUUCCGACCAAUCCUGACCAUAACUCGACUUGAUUUUUGGUAUAAAAUUCUUCUCCUCUCUCUAAGCUUCAGAUCCAUAUAUAAAUUGCUAAGUUUGGUGGUAUUUCGAGCUUGAAUAAAGCUCUGUGAUUUGUUGCCCCGUUCCUGCCUUCUUCUUCAUUGGGUCCGGUGAGUGCGACCUGCGAGCCCAAUCAGUUCAACCUGACCCGAUACAAAAAAAAACCCAAACCCGGUUCCAAACCACCCCAAACCUGGUUCCAAACCACCCCAAACCUGGAUCCAACCCAACCGGUUCCUAAAUAGAUUUGGAAUAUUCUCGAAAUAUUCUUGAAAUAUAUUUGGAAUAUUCCUUGUGUUGAUUUUUUCAAAAUCUUUUAUGAAACCCUGCUUGGCUAAUUUCGAUGCCCCGAGUUCGUUUUUUAUAUCCAUUUACUAAAAUUCCAAGGUUAAUGUAGUUGACUGCCAGGCGGUUCAGUUAACUUUUUGGGUUGGCCAUUGACUUUUUAAGAUAAUUGCUCAAAACCCUUCUUAGCGUAUUUCGACGCACUAAUUCAGAGUCUGCCGUCCGUUUCUCCAAAUUCAAAAGUUUUAAUUAAGUUUUACUAAUGGGUCUGUAUUAUGCUUAGGUAGGAUUAACAUCGGCGAUCCGCAUCUACUCGUUCGAACGACUAUGACUUCACAAAUAGAUGUGAGUGGGUCUUUUCUUUUAUGUAGUGUGUGUGUAUAUAUAUAUUUGUUUAUUUUCCAUAUAUAUAUUGUUAAUGAAUUUUCUACGUGAUGCCAUAAUUAAUUUAACAUUUAUAAGAAAUGUUGUAAUGAUAAAAAUUAGGAAAUCAUUAUAAAUCCUACGGGAUGCCUUAAUUAGAUUUACGACUAUGAAUAGUAUUAUAUUGACUAGAAUCAUCGAAUCACUAUGGCUUGACUAUAUUUACGUUAUCUGCUUAUCGUGUGUUACAUUGGUGUUAGUACUCGCCCGUGGCAGGACCAGGCUUUACGUGUAUGUUCACAUCGCACUGUAUGCUCGCUUUGGAUCCAUUGUAGGUGCCAAUCCUGUCCUAGAUUGCUAUAGGCAGUUAGGACUCAUAUGUGAUGCACAUAGCACCAGUCUUCAUGUGAUUGUAGUACUAGAGCGUAGAUCAUUAUUACACUCAGUCCUAUUCAUGUCAUAAUACCUCUACAUGAACUCGUGUGUCCGCAUAUGUCGAUGAGCACUCGAUAUGAUAUGUUUGUUUAUGCGAGAUUAUAUGUUACUGGACAUUAUGUAUUUAUUUACGAAAUAUUGUGAUGUAUUUCACUCUUGAGAUAUUGUCGGCUACGGUAAGUAUUUUGACACUAUACGUAGUAUGUUAUAUUUUGAAACUAUACUUGUUUUACGGUAAGGGGUUAUUACAUUUUUUCAAAAAGGUUUUUACAAUGCUUUAUUUUAGGCCCACUCACGCUUUGUUUUUCGCCCCUGCAGGUUUUAGUAGCAGAGCUUUCUUAUUGGCGUGGAUACUUGACAAAUGUUGGUAUAGAAGAGUACCUUUGAUGGUAUAGUUUUUAUCCUACUUUUACGGUACUUUACUUAUGCUUUGACAUCACGUGUGAAUUGGGUUCAAUCUCGCUCACAUUCGCACUCUUACAUUUAGGUUUAAAUUUACUCAUAUUUUCCACAUCACUACACUUUAUGGCUUCGUCACCUUCCUAGUGUCGGCCAACACAACUCGAUUCAAAGUCCAGAUGGGCAUUCCGGACUGGGGUGUGUCACAUUGGAUAUUUCCUUUCUCGUUGACUCUUUGCUCCUUGGAAUAUUGGCUCUUUGCUUGCUCAUUUGCACAUUGAGGCUUGGAUGAAUAGAAUCAGCAAGCACCAAAAGAAUGGCACCUCUAAGUCUCAACAUCAAGGGUGAGAUGUGAAGACAAAAUAGACUUAGGAGAAGUUUUGAUGCUAGUAAAACUUCCUCUAAGGGCCAGCUGCAAAGAUAGGAAAGGGAAAGUGUUUCGUGUCUCCAAACUCCUUUCUCGCAACCUUAAUGAGUUUUGGCUGUAAUGCAAAUUAUAUACCCACUCACAAAUCAGCGGCAUAGAUGAAAUUAUGUUCUUGUCUAUGUGUGGCUUGUUUUGAUAUGGUCCUCAAGGACUAAAGACCAUUGAGCCUCGAAACGCAAACUAAUCUAAAGCCUAAUACAAACCUUUCGUACGAAUAAUUAGCUAAUUAAUUAAUCAUGACCAUAUCAAUUAAACUAUUUAAUUGCUUAUCCAUCUUAAUCAUAUUUCUUCAAUCUCGACCUAACAUGGUGUAAGAUCCAUUAGGCUUUAUUUAGUGAGGCAGUGGGUGAUGGUAACUCUUACUAAUCGAUUUGUGAAUUAAAACAUAUUUAAUUUUACCUUAGAUGAAGAUUAGCGAUUGCCAAUCUUUAGGGCUUCCACAAAUCAUGAGUGACACCUAACAGUAUGUCAUGGCUACCCAAUCUAGGUAGAAGUGAUUGGAUAAACUAUUUAGUUACAACUAUAAUGCAAUACAGUUCUUCUGGAAUUCAAUAUUCUUAACCACAUGGUUUGGUUGAUAGUUUAUUUCAUGUCUACUAUCGAAUUUGAUACUUCUCUAUAUGAUUUGGAAUAUUUUUCCUAAGUCAUAUUAAUAUGCUUUGGCCAAAAACUCUUGGACCAUAUCUUAGAGUAUUCUCUUUCCACCAUGGAAGGUUAGAAAUUCCUUGUUGUACAUUCACAUGUUUCUAUAAAUAAAUUAAUGACCUUAACAAUGCUAGGAACAUGCCCAAGAUGAGGCAUGUACUUUGUUACAUUGUCAAAUGAUUAAAGAUGUACCCACAAGGCAUAUGUGGUGUCUCAGGUCAAAUGACUACUUUACAUUAUUGCAACCAAUGAGUUCAUACAUGACAUGUAUGUCAGAGCUUUCUGUUGGUCGUUGUUUAGUGUACUCAACAACCUUUGGAGAACUUAUGUGUUUGUCUUAGUGUCUAGCACUAAUGACUUUGAGAUUAGUCAUAAUCCUGAAUAAGUUGACAUAACACAUACUAGCCUUAACGGAUUGUCAAUGACAAUCCUAUGUCUCGAAACAUUUUAGAAAUGAACAUAAGAGAAAGGUCUAAUUGAUCUAACACUUGUAUUACUUCUCUCUUAGGUUAAUUCCAUUCAUUGAAUUUUGUUAUUAAUUGAUUAAAUAUAUAAUACAUUAAAUAGUAAUUAACAAUAAACAAUGCUCUUUCAUUAACCUAAAUAAAAACUAAUACAUAAAUAUUCCAAAAGUUAUUACAUUAAAUGAGUGACUAUAAGAGCAUACUUCUAAUAAAUUAAUCAUUCAUACGGUCAUUGGAAUAACUAUCAUCUUCCGUAGGUUUAUGACUUAGAGUAAACUGUCAUUUAACCCCCUGAACUAUCACGUGAGUUUCAAUUUCCCCCCUGAACUAUUUUUUUAGCCAAUUGACCCCCUAAACUAUGUUAAAGUGGCCAAUUAACCCCCUACCGUUA